rnacentral:rRNA from 1 species
CGUGGGGGAGCAAACAGGAUUAGAUACCGUGGUAGUCCACGCCGUAAACGAUGAGUGCUAAGUGUUGGAGGGGUUUCCGCCCCUUCAGUGCUGCAGCAAACGCAUUAAGCACUCCGCCUGGGGAGUACGACCGCAAGGUUGAAACUCAAAGGAAUUGACGGGGGCCCGCACAAGCGGUGGAGCAUGUGGUUUAAUUCGAAGCAACGCGAAGAACCUUACCAGGUCUUGACAUCCUUUGACCACUCUAGAGAUAGAGCUUUCCCUUCGGGGACAAAGUGACAGGUGGUGCAUGGUUGUCGUCAGCUCGUGUCGUGAGAUGUUGGGUUAAGUCCCGCAACGAGCGCAACCCUUAUUGUUAGUUGCCAUCAUUUAGUUGGGCACUCUAGCGAGACUGCCGGUGACAAACCGGAGGAAGGUGGGGAUGACGUCAAAUCAUCAUGCCCCUUAUGACCUGGGCUACACACGUGCUACAAUGGGAAGUACAACGAGUCGCUAGACCGCGAGGUCAUGCAAAUCUCUUAAAGCUUCUCUCAGUUCGGAUUGCAGGCUGCAACUCGCCUGCAUGAAGCCGGAAUCGCUAGUAAUCGCGGAUCAGCACGCCGCGGUGAAUACGUUCCCGGGCCUUGUACACCCCGCCCGUCACCCCACGAGAGUUUGUAACACCCGAAGUCGGUGAGGUAACCUU